rnacentral:snoRNA from 1 species
UUAAAUGAUGAUACAACCAUAAACAAAGCUGGAAUUACCGGCUGAAUAUAAAAUGUAGAUCUGUUUGCUAACUACACUGAUU